AUGGGGAAAAUACAGUGGUGCCCCAAAAACUGUAGACUAUUAGGAUUGCAUGGAUUACACCCAAAACCCAGCAGCUUAAAGCAGCAUACACGCCUUCCCCUCUGUUUCCCAGUUUCCGAGGGUCAGGAGUCUGGGAAGUUGCUCUCAGGCUGCUUGCUGCGGCUCAGGAUCUCUGAUGAGGCCUCGCUGCGGCCCUUUCCUAGCUGCACCGGGUCUGGCCAUCCAUGGCCGACUCACUCGCUGGUUGUCGCCAGACCUCAGCUCUUGCUGACUUUUGAUUUAGGGCUUCGGUUCCCAACCAGGUGGGGCUCUCUAGGAGAGAACAGCUCAAAAACAACCCUCUGGCUUCCCCCAGAGCAAGUGAUAGGAGACAGAAAGAGGGAGCUAGAGAGAGCCUUGAAGGUGGACGCCGCAGUCUUCAUUCAAUCAAUCUCCCCAGGAACGCCCUGCAGGCCCAGACAGUCUCACUCUGUUGCCCAGGCUGGAGUGCAGUGGCAUGAUCUCCCCUCACUACAACCUCUGACUCCCAGGUUCAAGCGAUUCUCCAGCCUCAGCCUCCCAAGUAGCUGAGAUUACAGGCAUGCACCACUAUGCCUGGCUAAUUUUGCGUUUUUAGUAGAGAUGGGGUUUUCCCAUGUUGGUCAGGCUGGUCUCGAACUCCCAACCUCAGCCUG
ensembl:lncRNA